CCACAUUCUGUUCCUUCCCACCAAACACUACCGAUGUCAGCUCCUCCGCUACCACUACUGCCAUCACCACCACAGCAGCUAUCUUCUUGUUUGUCCUAAAGCUCGUACCAACAAUCACCUACAGCGUGGUCUCAUUGCCUGUAUCAAUAGGUUUAAAACAGACGAUGAUGAUUAGUCUGGAUAUGGAAGUAUCAGCAUUUUCUCUAUCAUCAGGUGUGAGUGUGAGUGAUGGAAUGUGUUUUGUGAUUGUGGUGACCUCUGAACUGGUCUUCGCCGUGUUUGCCACAGCAGAGGAUCCAAAGAAAGGAGGUUUGGGCAUCACUGCACCUAUUGCAAUGAUUUCAUAGCUGGUGCCAACAUUUUAUCAGUCUCUUUGGGUCCUGCUGCGGCAAGAUAGAAUUGGAUUCUCCACUGAGUCUACUGGUUCAGUCUGGUGAUCGUUGCCGCCAUAGCUGCCCUUGAAUGAUAACGUGACUUCCCACUAAGGAUUUCUAAGAAUUGCGUCCCUUUUUAAGAUAUAAAUAUCUCUCCGCUUUCAGAUGAAAGAGAGAUCAAGUUUCGAAUUUUUGUAGUUUUGUUAAAGGUUUUGUAUUCUUCUUAUUUCCACUAAUUCGGUGUCAGUAGGCUAAGACCGCGUUGUCUUUUACUCGUUGAAUCAAUGGAAGUAUUUUGUUUGCUUUGCAA